GUGCUCACUUCAGCAGCACAUAUUCUAAAAUUGGAAUGAUACAGAGAAGAUUAACAUGGCCCCUAUGCAAGGAUGACAUGUAAAUUCGUGAAGCAUUCCAUAUUUAA
rnacentral:snRNA from 1 species